rnacentral:piRNA from 1 species
UCCCUAACUCCUGUGCUAGUAGGCUCAC